UGAGCAAUCUGCCCUUCUCAUCGGAAUAAGCGUUGGAAACGACGUCUAAUGCCGAAUACGACCUCCUUUCGCAUGAUCGGAGGUGGAAAGCUCCGGCGGAGAAGGAUGAGCUCGCGGCCUAUCAGCUAGUUGGUGUGGGUAACGGCCCACAAGGCGACGACGGGUAGCCGGCCUGAGAGGGUGACCGGCCACACUGGGACUGAGACACGGCCCAGACCUCCGUACGGGGAGGNAGGUAGGGG
rnacentral:rRNA from 1 species